UGGGGAAUAUUGCACAAUGGGCGAAAGCCUGAUGCAGCAACGCCGCGUGAGUGAUGAAGGUCUUCGGAUUGUAAAGCUCUGUCUUUUGGGACGAUAAUGACGGUACCAAAGGAGGAAGCCACGGCUAACUACGUGCCAGCAGCCGCGGUAAUACGUAGGUGGCGAGCGUUGUCCGGAUUUACUGGGCGUAAAGGGUGCGUAGGCGGAUGUUUAAGUGAGAUGUGAAAUACCCGGGCUUAACUUGGGUGCUGCAUUUCAAACUGGAUAUCUAGAGUGCAGGAGAGGAGAAUGGAAUUCCUAGUGUAGCGGUGAAAUGCGUAGAGAUUAGGAAGAACACCAGUGGCGAAGGCGAUUCUCUGGACUGUAACUGACGCUGAGGCACGAAAGCGUGGGUAGCAAACAGGAUUAGAUACCCUGGUAGUCCACGCCGUAAACGAUGAGUACUAGGUGUAGGAGGUAUCGACCCCUUCUGUGCCGCAGUAAACACAUUAAGUACUCCGCCUGGGAAGUACGAUCGCAAGAUUAAAACUCUAAGUGAAUUGACGGGGGUCAUA
rnacentral:rRNA from 1 species